rnacentral:sRNA from 1 species
UUGAGGAAGAGGAAGAAGAAGAAG